ACCUCAUUAUGGCUGGGCAAUAUUGUACACAUAAGUACUAUGCCCGCUUUUGUAGCAAAUCUUGUACACAGGCUGGACAACUUCCAUCCUAUGGCCCUCAUCUGGAGAAAUCAGCAUAUUUUGCAGGGAUACCAUUGAAGUAAAACAUUUUGGAAGACAGUUGAAACAAUUUCAAACUAACAUCAGAUUUUUAAUAGAACAAGGAACAAAAGGCCAAGAAGUAUGCCUUCAUACCAUCAUACCAUCAUGUAUCAUAAUCAGUCAAAGACUUUCCAUUAACAAACUUCUUAAGUCUAUACUAUGUUAUAGUAAUUUUUAGUGAAAACUUUCUGAUACCUUAAUCAUAGUAUGCACUUGUAAUUUUGCGUGUGAAUGUUUCAGUUUAGAGAUUCAGCCAAUGGUGAUGCUCACAGAACUCCACUGCCACUUGUUUAUUUCUGUAAGGCACUUUAAGUGUCAGAAAUUCUAUGUAAUUUUGUUGUGUACAUUAUUUAGAAAUUAAAUUGUGCUUAAUAAUGAGGGUGAGAUACAAGUGAUGUCAUUGACGUGCCUUUUCUUUUUUCAUGAAACUGAGAUUUUAAUGUGAAAACAAUGUAUGUUAAUUUGCAAGUGGAACAUGAUAUCUACUUCCACAGUAUUUUGCUAUUAGUAAUGUGUACAUACAUAAAAUAUAAAUAAAUACUUUAUUAUAUAGUUA